GACGAACGCUGGCGGCGUGCUUAACACAUGCAAGUCGAACGGAAAGGCCCUGCUUUUGUGGGGUGCUCGAGUGGCGAACGGGUGAGUAACACGUGAGUAACCUGCCCUUGACUUUGGGAUAACUUCAGGAAACUGGGGCUAAUACCGGAUAGGAGCUCCUGCUGCAUGGUGGGGGUUGGAAAGUUUCGGCGGUUGGGGAUGGACUCGCGGCUUAUCAGCUUGUUGGUGGGGUAGUGGCUUACCAAGGCUUUGACGGGUAGCCGGCCUGAGAGGGUGACCGGCCACAUUGGGACUGGGAUACGGCCCAGACGCCUACGGGAGGCAGCAGUGGGGAAUAUUGCGCAAUGGGCGGAGGCCGGAUGCAGCAACGCCGCGUGCGGGAUGACGGCCGUCGGGGUGUAAACCGCUUUCGCCUGUGACGAAGCGUGAGUGACGGUAAUGGGUAAAGAAGCACCGGCUAACUACGUG
rnacentral:rRNA from 1 species